AUUGAACGCUGGCGGAAUGCUUUACACAUGCAAGUCGAACGGCAGCACGGGUGCUUGCACCUGGUGGCGAGUGGCGAACGGGUGAGUAACAUAUCGGAACGUACCCAGUAAUGGGGGAUAACUAACCGAAAGGUUAGCUAAUACCGCAUACGCCCUGAGGGGGAAAGCGGGGGAUCGAAAGACCUCGCGUUAUUGGAGCGGCCGAUAUCUGAUUAGCUAGUUGGUGGGGUAAAGGCCUACCAAGGCGACGAUCGGUAGCUGGUCUGAGAGGAUGAUCAGCCACACUGGGACUGAGACACGGCCCAGACUCCUACGGGAGGCAGCAGUGGGGAAUUUUGGACAAUGGGCGCAAGCCUGAUCCAGCCAUGCCGCGUGAGUGAAGAAGGCCUUCGGGUUGUAAAGCUCUUUCGGCCGGAACGAAAUCGUCCGGGCUAAUACCCCGGAUGGAUGACGGUACCGGAAGAAGAAGCACCGGCUAACUACGUGCCAGCCGCCGCAGUAA
rnacentral:rRNA from 1 species